rnacentral:rRNA from 1 species
ACGCUCGACACCUACAGGAGGCAGCAGUCGGGAAUAUUGCGCAAUGGAGGAAACUCUGACGCAGUGACGCCGCGUAUAGGAAGAAGGUUUUCGGAUUGUAAACUAUUGUCGUUAGGGAAGAAAAAAGACAGUACCUAAGGAGGAAGCUCCGGCUAACUACGUGACAGCAGCCGCGGUAAUCUGAGCGGGCUGGCAAGGC